rnacentral:rRNA from 1 species
ACAGAGGGUGCGAGCGUUAAUCGGAAUUACUGGGCGUAAAGGGCGCGUAGGCGGUCAUUUAAGUUAGAUGUGAAAACCCUGGGCUUAACCUAGGACGUGCAUUUAAUACUGGGUGACUAGAGUAUUGUAGAGGGCAGUGGAAUUUCCGGUGUAGCGGUGAAAUGCGUAGAGAUCGGAAGGAACAUCAGUGGCGAAAGCGGCUUCCUGGUCCAGCACCGACGUUCAGGCACGAAAGCGUGGGGAGCAAACAGGA